GGUAGUUAUCCUCUUUUAUUUACUCAAAUACACUGACAAGUGAGUUCAGCAAUUUAAGUCCCCCUUAAACUCAGUUCAUUCCUUGCAUUCCCACCAUCUUGCAGGCAUCUGCCAAGAGCAGGGUUGUCCUCCUAGUUCCACGGUGGAGUAGAACUGGGUCAGCAUCAGGUAUGUAUCCAGCCUGAUUGGGCGCCUUUGGUCAGGAUGUCAGUGGAGGCAUCCUUCAAACUCCAUCACUUCUGUUUGGGAGGGAGGGGCACAGGCAGCCGUAGCAGUAGAACACUGUCCUCAAGUCAGAUAUCCAGAACAUCGAAAAGAAGGACGAGAAAGAAAAUGAAUUAGAUCGUAGGGAAGGUGCAAUUGGAGGCAGCCAGCCAAACGCUUCCCACCUGGGUGGAAGGCAGCAAAGACAUGUGAGCCGUUGGCCCAGGUGGACAGACCCUCAAGUGUUUGUUGUUGUCGAAUCCCAAGGUCAAUGGGAUGGACGGUCCUCUUUCAUGAACUAUUCAGAAGGCUUCUUAGUGCUUGGGUCCAAGGAAUUAGAGGGCUGGCAAAUCACACAGGCCUUGAGGAUCAAAAUGUAGGUUUCCUUGAACUUCUUUAUUUUAUAAGCAUAGACGAUAGGGUUCAUCAUGGAGUUAGCAUGGGACAGCAGGAUGCCCAAGUACAGCACAACUUCUGGCACUUCACCUUUAAAGUAGAUGAUACAGUUGAUGAUAGAUAAAGGCAGCCAGGACAAGGCAAAUAAGAAAAGAACCAGAAACAGAGACUUGGCUGUCUUGAACUCCCGUCCAUAAAAUGCACCUGUCUCUUUGGAGCCAGAGAAGUUAUGAUUGAGUUUGUGCCGGAUGACAUAGAAGAUGUCAAGGUAGAUGGCGCACAUGACAACCAGGGGAAUGAAAAUCCAAGUGAAGAAGCUGAAGUAGACCAUGUAGUCCAUCCUCAUGACGGAACGGAACUGGCAGGAAAGGAAGGUGAGGUUCCGGUGGUACUCUGAGGUCAGUUUCACGUUCCAGCCGAACAUGGGGGUCAGGCCCACCAGGAAUGACACCAGCCAGCAAAGGCCCAGAGCCAACCAUAUUCUUCGUUGAGUGGUGACCCUCCUGUAUCUUUACCUGACCGUGAGCUUGACCCGCAGGUAUCGGUCCACGGCAAUGGCUAGCAAGGACAUGAUGGAGGCGUGGGUGAAGAUCAGCAGCAGGCAGGUCAUGAGAAGGCAGCUAUAAAAGUGGAUCGUGACACCCAAGCUGACGACGAUGGCCAAAGGCAUGACCAGCACCCCAACAGCGAUGUCAGCCAGGGCAAGGGAGACAAUGAAAUAGAAGGUGGUGGUCUUCAGGCUGGGGUUCAGCUUGACCACCCAGAUGACCAGCACGUUGCCCACUAUGGCGCAGAGCCCGAUGAGAAUCUCCACGGUGAUGUAGGCCACACUGGCCAAUGACACAGCAGUGCUGUUGACCAGCAUCUUGCUCUCCAAGAGGAGCCUCCCAGGGGACAGAU
rnacentral:lncRNA from 1 species